GCUCCAAGGCUUCUCCUCUAGAGAUGGUGGAAUGGACUGGUUUUUGGUGAAAUUCCGCUCGGUCUCACAUUCAGCCUGUCUAGGCCCCGCCUCUAUAACGGCCUGGCAUAGGUCGCACCCGCCGUGGCUCGGCGACGCACGUGGAGACUCCAGGACUGCAGUGUCGGCGUAGGUGACAUGUGUGUGUGCCUCGGGCCGGGCAGGGCCUUUUAUCCUCGGCAAACCGACUGUCAUUUUUAAGUGCUGAUUGGAGCAUUGGAGAAAAUAUAUUCUUACCCUAUCAUUUCAUAAGUAUGGACAAAAGACCUUACGGAGGAGUUAGCAGCUGCAGCGCUAUCAUUGUUGCGUGUUACUACUGCCAGGCUCUUUGAUAAUCGCUUGGUACUAAUUCUCACACUAAUUUUGUAAGGGGGCAUGGGUUUGAUCCCUGGUCGGGGAACUAAGAUGCUGCAUGCUGCUCGGCGUGGCCAAAAGAAAAGUGAAGAAAUCAAGAUUUGGCCAACAUUCCAUAACUAGGUGGUGGGGAGUUGGAACCCACUAUGACUGAACUCCAAAUUAAUACAGUGUUUGUAGCCACUUAUAUAAUAAUUGUAAAGGCAUUACUUUUUUGCUCUGUUGUAUGGAUAAACAAACUGAGGCUGAGGGAAUAAGGCAGCACACUCUUAAAGGAUACACACUUGGUGGAAAGGAUCAGAAAAGGAAACAGAAACAUAGAGAAACAGAAAAAGUAAAAUCUCCCAAAAUAAACUUGAAAGGAAUUAAAGAUAAAAGCAGAAGUUAAUGAAAUAGAAAAUAAAAUUGAUCAUAAUAGUAGCUGGUGUUCAAAAAGAACAAUAAAUAGACAGCAACUCUGAGGAAGAAGAGGAGAGAAAACAAUAUCAGAAGCAAAGGGAACACAUUACAGAUAUGAGGGACUUUGAAAACAAGUGAAUUAUUUAGUGUAAACUUAUAAUCUUGAAAAUUGACUUGGACAAUUUUUUAGGAAAAUAUAAAUUUAAAAAAAUUGUCUCAAGAGUUAGAAAAUGUUAAUAAACUGAUAAUUAUAAAAGAAUGCCUGGGCUUCCCUGGUGGUGCAGUGGUUAAGAAUCUGCCUGCCAGUGCAGGGGACACGGGUUCCAGCCUUGGUCUGGGAAGAUCCCACAUGCAGCGGAGCAACUAAGCCCAUGUGUCACGACUACUGAACCUGCGCUCUAGAGCCCGUGAACCACAACUACUGAGCCCGCCUGCCACAACUACUGAAGCCUGCAUGCCUUAGAGCCCGUGCUCCACAACAGGAGAAGCCACUGCAAUGAGAAGCUCAUGCACCGCAGCAAAGAGUAGCCCCCGCUCACUGCAACUAGAGAAAGCUCGCACACAGCAACAAAGACACACGCAGCCAAAAAUAAAAAUAAAUUAAAUUAAUUAAAAAUGUAAAAAAAAUAAGAAUGCCUUAUGUAUCCCAGACAAAAGUCACUAGGAACAAGGCAUAGAGGAAAAUGGAGUACUUUCCAGCUUUGAAGGUAGCAUAACCCUAACAAUCUAAACAAGGAUAGUGAAGAAAAACUUACACCUCAGUCUCACUUAUGAAUAUACAUGCAAAAAUCCUAAGGAAACUAGGAAGCCAGCAGUGCAUUUAGAGAAUAAUGUUAUAACCAAGCUGGGUUUAUCCUUCUAGUACAGGAUGGGUCAACAUUAGACAAUAUAGUAAUGAA